UACGGGGGGGCAAGGCGUGUUCGGAAUUACUGGGCGUAAAGGGCUCGUAGGCGGCCAACUAAGUCGGAUGUGAAAUCCCCAGCUUAACCUGGGAACUGCAUCCGAUACUGGAUGGCUUGAAUCCGGGAGAGGGAUGCAGAAUUCCAGGUGUAGCGGUGAAAUGCGUAGAUAUUGGGAGGAACACCAGUGGCGAAGGCGGCUCACUGGACCGGAACUGACGCUGAGGCGCGAAAAGCGUGGGGAGCAAACGGG
rnacentral:rRNA from 1 species